AUGGAAGAAACAUUUGUUCCCUUCGAAGGGAUCAAGAAUGACCUCAAAGCAAGAAUUGAAUGUUACAAAGAAGAUUGGACAAGUGGUUUCCGAGCUGGUAUCAGGAUUCUUGCCCCGACCACAUACAUAUUUUUUGCUUCAGCAAUUCCAGUUAUUUCUUUUGGAGAGCAACUGGAUAGAAAUACAGAUGGAACUCUGACUGCAGUGCAGACUCUUGCAUCAACAGCACUCUGUGGUGUUAUCCAUUCAAUCCUUGGAGGGCAACCUCUCCUCAUUCUUGGUGUGGCUGAGCCGACGGUUUUAAUGUAUACCUUUAUGUAUAAUUUUGCUAAGGAUCGAAAGGAUUUGGGUCAUAAACUCUUCCUUCCCUGGACUGGAUGGGUGUGUGCUUGGACAGCCUUGUUGCUCUUUUUGUUGGCCGUUCUUGGUGCAUGCUCCAUAAUCAACAGGUUCACACGCAUUGCUGGGGAAUUAUUUGGUCUGCUAAUUGCAAUGCUCUUUAUGCAGCAGGCCAUAAGGGGAGUUGUGGAAGAGUUUGGGGUACCCAAGAACCGGAGAGAAAGUACCAGUUCAAUUGCACUCGAACCAUCUUGGCUGUUUGGCAAUGGGAUGUUUGCUUUGGUUUUGUCAUUUGGCCUUAUUUUUACAGCACUGCAAAGUCGUAAAGCUAGAUCUUGGCGCUAUGGGACAGGUUGGCUUAGGGGAUUUAUAGCUGAUUAUGGAGUUCCACUAUUGGUGCUAGUAUGGACCGCUGUAUCUUACAUACCAGUCAAUGAGGUCCCAAAGGGAAUCCCCAGGCGACUCUUCAGUCCAAACCCAUGGUCUCCUGGUGCAUACUCAAAUUGGACAGUUAUCAAGGAAAUGUUGGAUGUUCCUGCUGUGUAUAUUAUUGGAGCAUUUAUACCAGCAACUAUGAUUGCUGUACUUUACUACUUUGAUCACAGUGUUGCAUCACAACUUGCACAGCAGAAGGAGUUCAAUCUAAGAAAACCUUCUUCCUAUCAUUAUGACCUUCUUCUUUUGGGCUUUUUGACUCUGUUGUGUGGGCUUAUUGGAAUCCCUCCUUCCAAUGGGGUCAUUCCACAAUCUCCAAUGCAUACAAAAAGCUUGGCCACUCUAAAACAUCAGCUUCUGAGGAGAAAGCUUAGAUCAACUGCACGACAAAGUAUGCAGAAAAAUAUGAACCUCAGCCAGUUGUACGAGAAUAUGCAAGCAGCAUAUGAUGAAAUGCACACUCCACUGGUCCAUCAAAUGCCACCUGCACUGAGGUUGAAAGAGCUGAAGGAGUCCACCAUCCAACUUGCUUCUAGUCAAGGAUACGUCGAUGCCCCUGUUGAUGAGAUUGUGUUUGAUGUGGAAAAGGAUAUUGAUGAUCUUUUGCCUGUUGAAGUUAAAGAACAGCGCCUCAGCAAUCUGCUGCAGGCAUUGAUGGUUGGUGGUUGUGUUGCUGCUAUGCCUGUUCUGAAGAAGAUACCAACUUCAGUCCUAUGGGGCUACUUCGCUUUCAUGGCUAUAGAGAGUCUGCCGGGAAAUCAGUUUUGGGAGAGAGUAUUGUUUCUGUUAACUGCUCCAAAUCGAAGAUACAAGGUGCUGGAGAAAAUGCACGCAACUUUUCUUGAGACUGUGCCCUUCAAAACAGUUGCCAUGUUUACCUUGUUACAAACGGCUUACUUGCUUGCGUGCUUUGGUAUAACUUGGAUACCAAUUGCCGGGGUCCUUUUCCCGUUGUUAAUCAUGCUUCUUGUCCCAGCACGCCAAUAUGUCCUUCCUAAGUUUUUUAAAGGAGUACAUCUUCAAGAGUUGGAUGCUGCAGCCUACGAGGAAUCCCCUGCUGUUGCUUUCAACAUGGCAUUUGAAGAUCCAAGUUGUCAAACUCAAGCAACAACUGUUAACAUUAGUGGCGGGGAAAUUCUUGAUGAAAUUAUUACAAGGAGCCGUGGGGAGAUUCGUGGCAUCCACAGCCCAAAAACAAGUAGUUCGACGCCAACUUCAUUUGGUGAUAUAAGACCUGCUAAUAGUCCACAGCUAGUGCGAAGGGUGCACAGCCCUCGAGUAACUGAAUUGAGAGGGGAAAGCAGCCUAGUAUCAGCCAAAAAAGAGAUCAUGCUAAGGCAAACUCCUAGUCCAGGGUCAUCGAUUCCUAGACAAGAUCCUAAAGGUUCAUCUUCGAGCUAAAGUGGUAUCUUUAAGACUGAAGAGAAUAGUUCUGUUCAGGAUGAGGACGUUAAGAUCUUGACGAACCUAAGUAUAAGUUUGAAAGUGAAGUAAUCCUCCGUGUCCUCUAAUGCUAUCUCAAGAGCAUGGUGACCAUAUUUUGUGCAUUAUGGAAACUGGCAAACAUUGUGUAGGAGUGAAGAUUGAAGAGAGGACCCAUAUAGAAAGAUGGAUAAGAAACACAAGUUAGUGGAAUGCACACUCUCUUCCCACUGUCUCUGCAUAUGCUCCAUCAAAUUCUAGUGAUGUCAUUCACAUAUCUACCUGCAGAUACGACACCAUGCUGUGUCUUCAACGUGUUAUAUUGAGAUUGAGAUUUGAAAGCAUUCAUGUAACCAGUAACUCUUAUCUUUAAUUUUCUUUCAUAGAAGGACAUUCCUCAAAUGAUCUCAACUUUGGAUCAAGUUUUCUUCCACGUUUAUCUGAAAACUUGGUCUGAAUGGAGGGGAAAAUAGAAGGGAGAGAAUACUGGAACUUCCAAAGAUAGGAAGACAAUUUAUUAUUUUAAAGAUUUUUCCUCGUAGUA